UACGUAGGGGGCUAGCGUUGUCCGGAAUCAUUGGGCGUAAAGCGCGCGUAGGCGGCCGGAUAAGUCCGGUGUGAAAGUCACAGGCUCAACCUGUGAAUGCCGCUGGAAACUGUCUGGCUUGAGUCCGGAAGGGGCGAGUGGAAUUCCUGGUGUAGCGGUGGAAUGCGCAGAUAUCAGGAGGAACACCGAUGGCGAAGGCAGAUCUCUGGGCCGUAACUGACGCUGAGGAGCGAAAGCAUGGGGAGCGAACAGG
rnacentral:rRNA from 1 species